rnacentral:rRNA from 1 species
GUAUGGUGCAAGCGUUAUCCGGAUUUACUGGGUGUAAAGGGAGCGUAGACGGAUGGGCAAGUCUGAUGUGAAAACCCGGGGCUCAACCCCGGGACUGCAUUGGAAACUGUUCAUCUAGAGUGCUGGAGAGGUAAGUGGAAUUCCUAGUGUAGCGGUGAAAUGCGUAGAUAUUAGGAGGAACACCAGUGGCGAAGGCGGCUUACUGGACAGUAACUGACGUUGAGGCUCGAAAGCGUGGGGAGCAAACAGGAUUAGAUACCCUGGUAGUCCACGCCGUAAACGAUGACUACUAGGUGUCGGGUGGCAAAGCCAUUCGGUGCCGCAGCAAACGCAAUAAGUAGUCCACCUGGGGAGUACGUUCGCAAGAAUG